ensembl:snoRNA
AGGUCAUUUCAAAGAGGGCUUGUGGAACCAAAAGCAAGAACUCUUAACACUGAACUUCUCCAUAGGAUGUAAUGUUCACUCAAUAGUUUCAUCUUUUUCCUAAGGAAAUGUAGGG